rnacentral:rRNA from 1 species
UGAUGACGAGACGCUAAGGCGUUGAAGCAGUGUGUGUCAGACUUCCAAGAAAAGCUCGCAAUGUCACAAAUAAAAGAUGCCUGUACCAUAACCGACACAGGUGGGUAGGUAGAGUAUACUAAGGGGCGCGAGAUAACUCUCUCUAAGGAACUCGGCAAAAUGACUCCGUAACUUCGGGAGAAGGAGUGCCUUAUUUAUAAGGUUGCAAUAACAAGAUCCAAGCAACUGUUUAUCAAAAACACAGGUCUCCGCUAAGUCGUAAGACGAUGUAUGGGGGCUGACGCCUGCCCAGUGCCAGAAGGUUAAAGAAGUUGGUUAGUGUAUGCGAAGCUGAUGACUGAAGCCCUGGUGAACGGCGGCCGUAACCAUAACGGUCCUAAGGUAGCGAAAUUCCUUGUCGGGUAAGUUCCGACCCGCACGAAAGGCGUAAUGAUUUGGAUACUGUCUCGGAGAGAGGCUCGGUGAAAUAGACUUGUCUGUGAAGAUGCGGACUACCUGCACCAGGACAGAAAGACCCUAUGAAGCUUUACUGUAACUUGAAAUUGGAAUUGGACUUUGCUUGCGCAGUAUAGGUGGGAAGCGUUGAAAAUAUUCUUGCGGGAGUAUUGGAGCUAUCAGUGAGAUACCACUCUUGUAAUGUUAGAUUUCUAACUUUGAACCAUAAUCUGGUCAAAGAACAGUUUCAGGUGGGCAGUUUGACUGGGGCGGUCGCCUCCCAAAUGGUAACGGAGGCGUACAAAGGUUUCCUCUGAACGGAUAGAAAUCGUAUCUAGAGUGUAAAGGCAUAAGGAAGCUUGACUGUGAGACCUACAAGUCGAGCAGGGACGAAAGUCGGUCUUAGUGAUCUGACGGUACUGAGUGGAAAGGCCGUCACUCAACGGAUAAAAGUUACUCUAGGGAUAACAGGCUGAUCUCCCCCAAGAGUUCACAUCGACGGGGAGGCUUGGCACCUCGAUGUCGGCUCAUCGCAUCCUGGGGCGGUAGUACGUCCCAAGGGUUGGGCUGUUCGCCCAUGAAAGCGGUACGCGAGCUGGGUUCAGAACGUCGUGAGACAGUUCGGUCCAUAUCCGGUGUAGGCGCUAGAAUAUUGAGAGGAGCCUUCUUUAGUACGAGAGGACCGAGAAGGACACACCGCUGGUGUACCAGUUAUCGUGCCAACGGUAAACGCUGGGUAGCUAUGUGUGGAGUGGAUAACCGCUGAAAGCAUCUAAGUGGGAAGCCCACCUCGAGAUGAGUA